UAGGGAAUCUUCGGCAAUGGGGGCAACCCUGACCGAGCAACGCCUCGUGAGUGAAGAAGUUUUUCGGAUCGUAAAGCUCUGUUGUUAGAGAAGAACGUGUGUGAGAGUGGAAAGUUCACACAGUGACGGUAACUUACCAGAAAGUGACGGCUAACUACGUGCCAGCAGCCGCGGUAAUACGUAGGUCCCGAGCGUUUUCCGGAUUUAUUGGGCGUAAAGCGAGCGCAGGCGGUUUAAUAAGUCUGAAGUUAAAGGCAGUGGCUUAACCAUUGUUCGCUUUGGAAACUGUUAAACUUGAGUGCAGAAGGGGAGAGUGGAAUUCCAUGUGUAGCGGUGAAAUGCGUAGAUAUAUGGAGGAACACCGGUGGCGAAAGCGGCUCUCUGGUCUGUAACUGACGCAGAGGCUCGAAAGCGUGGGGAGCAAACAGG
rnacentral:rRNA from 1 species